UCUAAAGAGAAUUUGGGUUGACUCUUUAAACAUAACCAGAAUUUAAUAAAUAAAGCUCUCUGAUGAGCCGGCUUUAUUACUAACUAUUUGUUUAUAAGCCAUGAGUAUUACUAGCAGUUUCUAAAUAUUGUUUCUGGAAGUGGACGUUGUGGAAGUAGUGUAGUGUCAGCGGGGAAUUGCCAUGGACGCAGUUGUCAGUGAGAUGCAGAAGAAGCUGAGGGUGUGACUACAAGGGAAAACUGGAGGUGGAGCUCUGAGAUCUAGUCCUUGGUCCGCAUCCUUUCUAAGGCUGCGUUCACAGGAAAACGCUCAAACACCCUAUACCCUUUGGAUUGGGACUGAAGAGUAAAAUUACUGUGCAGUGGAGCGCUACUUUACAAAAGGCGUUUGGGUGACCAGCCAGUUUCCCCGUGUAGUUAUGAACUACAGAUAGAAUCCGCAGAAGCCCUCAGAAGGCUGUUUGAAAUUGAGAUGUUUUAAUUUAACAUCACAUGGAACUUUGCAAAUGGCAGAAAAAUAUCUUUUGGGACCCGGCCAUUGUUUCUGUAGUCAGAUUUCUGUCUUAUUGGCAGAUACAUUUCAUGUUAGCUUCAUCUUCUUAGCUGAUAGCAAGGCUGUUGGUUCCUUGAGGCACAGGCUUGGGAACCUGUCACUUAGGGAGCUCCAUGAAAGGGAGCCUUUGGCUGUGAGAAUACUCUGAAGGGAUCUGAAGAGCACACUUCUG